AUUGAACGCUGGCGGCAGGCCUAACACAUGCAAGUCGAGCGGGGGUAGCAAUACCCUAGCGGCGAACGGGUGAGGAAUGCUUGGGAAUCUGCCUCGUAGUGGGGGAUAACGUUCCGAAAGGGACGCUAAUACCGCAUACGUCCUACGGGAGAAAGGGGGGGAUCUUCGGACCUCUCGCUAUGAGAUGAGCCCAAGCGGGAUUAGCUAGUUGGUGAGGUAAAGGCUCACCAAGGCGACGAUCCCUAGCUGGUCUGAGAGGAUGAUCAGCCACACUGGAACUGAGACGCGGUCCAGACUCCUACGGGAGGCAGCAGUGGGGAAUAUUGGACAAUGGGCGCAGGCCUGAUCCAGCCAUGCCGCGUGUGUGAAGAAGGCCUUCGGGUUGUAAAGCACUUUAAGCGAGGAGGAAGGUUCGUUACUUAAUACGUAACGGAAUUGACGUUACUCGCAGAAUAAGCACCGGCUAACUCUGUGCCAGCCGCCGCCGUAACAC
rnacentral:rRNA from 1 species